rnacentral:rRNA from 1 species
GACGAACGCUGGCGGCGUGCUUAACACAUGCAAGUCGAGCGGUAAGGCCCUUUCGGGGUACGACGAGCGGCGAACGGGUGAGUAACACGUGGGUGACCUGCCCUCAGCUCUGGGAUAAGCCUGGGAAACUGGGUCUAAUACUGGAUAUGACUCCACGGUGCAUGUCGUGGGGUGGAAAGCCUUGUGCGGCUGAGGAUGGGCCCGCGGCCUAUCAGCUUGUUGGUGGGGUGAUGGCCUACCAAGGCGACGACGGGUAGCCGGCCUGAGAGGGCGACCGGCCACACUGGGACUGAGACACGGCCCAGACUCCUAC